GGGCAGCUAGCCAGUGAUGGCAUGCGAAUCUCGAAAGCCUAUCUCAGUUCGGAUUGGAGGCUGAAACCCGCCUCCAUGAAGUUGGAUUCGCUAGUAAUCGCGCAUCAGCCAUGGCGCGGUGAAUACGUUCCCGGGCCUUGUACACACCGCCCGUCAAGCCAUGGGAGCCGGGGGUGCCUGAAGUUCGUUACCGCAAGGAUCGACCUAGGGCAAAACUGGUGACUGGGGCUAAGUCGUAACAAGGUACC
rnacentral:rRNA from 1 species